CAGUAGCCGCGGUAAUACGUAGGGUGCAAGCGUUAUCCGGAAUUAUUGGUCGUAAAGAGCUCGUAGGCGGUUUGUCGCGUCUGCUGUGAAAACUGGAGGCUCAACCUCCAGCCUGCAGUGGGUACGGGCAGACUAGAGUGCGGUAGGGGAGAUUGGAAUUCCUGGUGUAGCGGUGGAAUGCGCAGAUAUCAGGAGGAACACCGAUGGCGAAGGCAGAUCUCUGGGCCGUAACUGACGCUGAGGAGCGAAAGCGUGGGGAGCGAACAGGAUUAGAGACCCGAGUAGUCCCUGUCUCUUAUAC
rnacentral:rRNA from 1 species